rnacentral:lncRNA from 1 species
CUCAUCUUGAUCAGAAGUCGGACAGUGUUCAAGAAGCGAAAUCAAAGACAGAGCAAAUGAAUAAGAGAUGAAAGUAAAGUGUCAAGGAGGGCAGAGGAAGGAAGGAAGAAAGGAUAAAAUAACAGAUGGUAAGAUGGAGCAAAAUCCAGGGUGAUGUUAAAAUGGACAGGCAAAGGGAUGAGAAGUGGUUGAUGAAAGAGGAUGAACAAGAAAGAAGGAGAGAAAAGAAAGAGAAGGGAGAGAUUUGGCACGGGCAGGACAAACAGGGACAUGACAGUGUAAUCCUCGCCAGACUGUCUGAACCCCCGAGGAGCCCAGGCCGCCGAUGACACAUCCUAAAUCUAAUGUGCCGGUUUGGGUGUUCAGUCGUAGCAAUGCACUGUGUUUGUUCACAGCUCAGAAAGGGGAUUAGACAGAUGAACUGCAGUCACCAGAUGCCCAAGCCUCAAAACUAGAAACAUGUGGAGACAUCAACACAAUAAAUGUUUAAAAAAA